UGCAAGUCUGUGCGCCAUACUAAUGUAAACAUAUUUAAAAUCAAACAUUACGUAAAGGUUCUUUGAAUGUCUGUUCUCUGUAUUCUCGUGAAUGUAAAUAAGAUAUCCUAUGGGUUCUCAGUACUAGUUCUCGAAACAUCGAUGAUACACAAAAUAAACGAGUAAAUACGAAAUAAGUCGCACAGGGCAUAAUGUUUUCGAGUCAGCCUGGCACCUACGGGCGGUCCCGUAUAGCCGUGACGUGACAAAUCGAACGAUAACUGAUAAAACAUUUAAAAAGCCGAUAAAUUUUGUCUGGGCAUCAAAUGUUACGAAGAGUUUAUACGAGACGCAUCUAAAGCGAAUACAAUAAUGAAACUAUUAAUAAUAUUCACGAUAGUAUUGACAUGUAUCGUUGUACGCGGGAAACAUAUUCAUCCGAGAAGCAUCGUGCAUUCCACGGGACUUGAUGAGUUUGAUUCUCCGAUCUUCGAAGUAGACGAGAUACCUAUUGAAAUCCUGAGAAACAUCAAGCCAACAAGAUUCGUUCCGAUUAACUUUCCACCAUGCGAAGAGGGCCUUGAGAGAGACGUGACCGGAACAUGCAGGGAAGUGUGGUACUGAACAUUUAAAAUUUAAACAAUCUAAAAAAUAAAAUAAAAAAUAUACCAGCCUCUUUUAAAUCAUAAAAAUAGUACAUCGUUAUCGGAUUAGUUAUCUAACAGUAUAUCAGCUGAAUAUACAGCAUAUUUAUCAUUAUCAAUACAUGAACAUGCGCCUUAAACGAGUAAAUAAAAAAGCAGUAAGUUGUUGUAAACACGCUGUAUGUUAAAAUCGAAACAGAAUGAUUUAUCUAAUGGGGCCCAUGUCCAGCAUUGAACGUCUGUAGGCUGAAAGAUAUAGAUAAGAUUUACCUAAAUUCUAUUUAGUUUAUCCAUUAGUUAUGUAAUAUAAACUUUUUGUGUGAUAUUAGUUAUAAGUAUGAUUUAAUGUUUUGAAUUAAGAAUGACAAUUUAUAAUUGGUAAACAAUGAAAUACCUAAUCGAUGUUUAACAUUGUUUUUAAAUAUUUAAGUAAAUCGACAGUUAAUCAAUUUAAGUGUUGUUUUUUUAAUGAUACUAUAUUGGUCGUUUAAGUCGAUAUUGAGAAAUGAAAGACUAGCGCAUAUGUGAUUUCUGAGAAUUGUUAAUAAUAAAAUGUAAGUAUAAUCAGAAUUGCAAUAAUGUUAGCAUUUGAAUCCUUCCUGCUUCAAGUUUAUUUCCAUUUAAUAAUAACUGUAUUUUCGCUAAGAUACUUAAUAUACUUUAUUGUCGUAUAUAGUUUGUCAUAAUAUUUGUAUCGGUAUGCUUAAGGUAGCUUUUGGUAGGCAGCGGCUUCGCUCUGCCCCUGGCAUUGCUGAAGUCCAUGGGCGACGGUAACCACUCACCAUCAGGUGGGCCGUACGCUCGUCUGCCUACAAGGACAAUAAAAAAAAAGAAUAUUACGUCCAGAGGAUAAAAGGAAAAAAAUACUUUAAAUAAAAUUACUUUGAAUUGACAAAUUAAAUGUCAUGAUAAUAAAGGCGAAAUCUCA